UACAGGGGGCUCGAGCGUUACUCGGAAUCACUGGGCGUAAAGCGCACGUAGGCGGACUUACAGGUCAAUUGUGAAAUACCUGGGCUCAACCCAGGAACUGCAGUUGAAACCGUUUGUCUUGAAUACUUGAGAGGGUGGGGGAAUACCUGGUGGAGAAGUGAAAUUCGUAGAGAUCAGGUGGAACACCGGAGGCGAAGGCGCCUGCCUGGCAAUGUAUUGACGCUGAGGUGCGAAAGUGCGGGGAGCAAACAGG
rnacentral:rRNA from 1 species